rnacentral:lncRNA from 1 species
ACAAUCCUUCCUGCACAGACCGGUCCUGGGUGGCCUUGCCUGCUAGCAAAGCACCCGCUGUGCAUCGUUCUCGCCUGUGAGCACCCAGAGGAAGUUCACCGCCACCUUCCCCUUCUACCACCUAUGAGAAAAGGCCACCCUCUCUUGGAUUUGAUCCCAGAGCUCUGGGUCGAAGGCAGGGACUUCCUAUCUCUGGAGCUGUAACUCAAAGUGAAAUGGAUGCUGGCCUCUGCAGAAAGUGUAGUAUGGGACUCAUUGAUCCAUCGAGC